AAACACUUGCAACCCAAUUUGCAAAGAGACCAAAUACUCCAGCUGACCAAGUUUGGGAAUGCCAAAGUAAACCCACGUGGGUCCUCUCAUGUCCAAGACAUUUCUUCAGCCAAGUUCAAAACCUCCCCUUCUUGGUUUACACGCUGGCUACAUUUCUUUUCCUCAUUUUCUUCUUCCUCCUUCUUCUUCAAGACUCAAAACCGAGGGCACUGUUCAGAAAUCCAGAAGUCAUAUUUCGGAAGCUCCAAUCAGAAAACUUCCUUAAUGAAAGUUGUUCGUCUACCUGAGGACUAAAAUCUGUGAAAUUUGUAGAUUGUUCUCAAUUUUUCUGAUGCCUCAAAACGGGUUUCCAUCUUUUGUGUUCAGCCAUGGCUGCUGGGUUUCUGCAGACUCGGUUUCUGCAUUUGAUUUUAAUAUGUGAUUCUCGGAUGGUUGUGAUUGCUUCACGAAACUUGCUCGAAAUUGUGUUGGCUAUAACAUAUCCAAAAUUGAAGAUCAUCCAACCGUUGUAGUUCCCCCUGCCUUUAUUUUUCUGAAGUAUGGACUUGGAGACCACUUGACUUAGCUUGGAUUUGGAGACCACAUCCAAACAGAGGGUUUUUUAGCAGCCAUGGGGGCUAUUUGGUCCUCCGAUACAAGUCCUGACUCGCCAUCAUCCGACUCAACGAAUCCCACUGAUUCUCAUAAGGCUGACUCACCACCAGAUUCAUCAAAUCCCAACAUGUCCAAUUCAGAUUCUAAAACCCCAGAAGACCAAACUCCAAAACAUACCGUAGAUCACCAAUUGGAUACAAAAACUCUAGAAGAAGAGAAGCAUCAGGAAGAUGAAGGCGCAUUUUGAAAAGAAGAAGAGCAAGAUGAGGGAGAAUGUGGCUUUUGCUUGUUCAUGAAAGCUGGUGGGUGCAGGGAGAGUUUCAUAGCUUGGGAAAAGUGUGCUGCGGAGUCUGAGAUGAACGAGGAGGAUGUUGCUGAAAAGUGCUUUGAGGUCACCGCGGCCUUGAAGAAGUGUAUGCAGGCUCAUCCAGAUCACUAUGCGCCCAUAUUGAGGCUUGAGAAGGCAGCUGAGGAGGAGGCUGCCAAUUGAAAGAAGAAAAGACUUCUAAGAGCUCGGGGCAAAAUGCCACUUUGAUCCAUUCGAACCAGCAUGGGAAUUCUAGUGAAAAGCGAGAUAGUUAAAGACAGUUUAGAAUUUGCCUUGUGAAUUGAAAUAGUACUAUGAUCUGUACAUUUUCUCAUCUAAUUCCUAGCAUGGGCGGUAAAUGAGAUUUCUUACACUCCACAUUUUGGAACU